rnacentral:lncRNA from 1 species
CUUGUUGGGAGUCUGGGAACACAGAGCAGGGAGCCCUGGGCCAGGCCUUGGGAGUGUCCCCGCACACCAUGUGUCCCCUGGGGACCCAGUGCAGUGACGCACAGCUCCUAGCAGGUGUCUGGCACACAGCAAGCAGCCUGGGAAGUGGGACUCUGGGGGUGACUGCUAUGCUCCCUCACCCCACCCUGUCCAGUCCAGCAGCCUCUAGCCACAGGGCACUGUGGGGCACCUGAAAUGCGGCUGGGGCCAUGUUGUUUAACCUCCAUGGUUUAAGUACCCUCAGGGGCUAGUGGCUGCCAUCUGGGGCAGCACAGGGCUGGACAGACAGCUGGUCUCCAGACUGCCUCCUGCAGGUCCCUCUGGGUGGGAGAAAGUGAGUCCCUCUGCAGGGCCAGGAGGGAUGUGGGGGGCAGCAAUGCCUUAGGCUGAUGGGGUGACCAGCCCUUCCAAGCCCUGCCAUGUUUCUCCUGCACACCACAAUGGUCUCUUUAGGUAGGUGCUUGUCCCAUGGACGCAGAGUGUAGAUGACCUGCUAAGGUCACUUGAUCAAGGCUGGAAGGUGCUCUAGCCCUGGGGCUCUGGGAAGUCCAGGGCUGUGGGUCCAAUGGCCAGAGCCCCUCCUGGCCUGGGCUAGUGCAGAGCUCCUCCAGCACAGCCCCUGCUCAGCUGCUGUGCUGAGCCGUGCCUCUGGGCCCACCCUGCUUCUGCCCUGGGCCCUGGCAGGUUGAGCCAGGCCCCAUAGGGCUGGGCCCUCUCUUGGAAGGUCCUGCCUUCUGUGGCCAGCCUAAGCCAUGCCGCACCUCCCUGCCCAGCUCUGACACUGGGGGUCACCUGAAACUCCACUGGGGCCUCCCUGCCCAGGCCCCAGUUCUCCCACCCUCCAUGAACCCCAGGAGGGUCUGUGACAGACUGUUCUGCAGGUGACACAGCUGCCCCUUUGAAUUGUGGGAGAUAGCAAGGAGGGAAGCAGCCAGCACUGGCCUGCCUAGGGUCACUUUCCCCACCUUAGCUCUCCC